GAUUUAUCUGUAGCAUGUGAUGCUAUUUGAUAGCAUUUGACCAACAGUAAAACUUCUUUCAAAAUUAGAGCCAGUCCUCUCAAACCCUGCUGCAGCUUUGUCAAUUAAGUUCAUAUAAUAUUCAUAUAAAUCCUUUGUGGUCAUUUUGACAAUGUUCACAGCAUCCUUCACCAGGAGUAAAUCCCAUCUCAAACCAGUUUCUUUGCUGAUUCAUAAGAAGCAACUCCUCAUUCAUUCAAGUUUGAUCACAAGAUUGCAGCAAUUCAGUCAUAUCCUCAGGCCCUACUUCUAACUCCAGUUCUGUUUCUCUUUCCACCACAUCUGAGGUUACUUCCUCCACAGAAGUCUUGAAUCCCUCAAAGUCACCCAUGAGGAUUGAAAUCAACUUCUUUCAAACUUCUGAUUCGCUGUGCAGAUAUAAAAGAGACGCACGGAGAGGGUUCAGCCCAGCAUUUGGCUUGUGGUGAGUGUUCACAAGUGUUGGAAUCAUUCGAAAGGCAUGAAGGGAGCAAAGGAGACACAGCCCAUGUGAAACAGUACAAAGGGACAAGACCGCUGAAAGGCAUCUUUCCUGAGGUUUCUGUAGCUAGAGGUGCUUUGGAGUGACUCAUACGGCCCCUGAUGACAGUCAUAGAUGAGGCAAAGUUUCAUUUUUCCAGAGUCUCCCAGGAUUAACUUAUUGCAUAUCCUGAUUUAAUUGUCUGCCCUUGUCAUGCUGUCUCCCAGUCAUAGACAUAUGAGCAACAGGUAUAAUCAUAUUAUUUUAUUGUUAGACACUGAUCAUAGAUAAUGUACUUUGUUUAUAUUGGCUUUAGGAACUCAGAACAUCAACUGGAGUAGACAUUGUUGAGAACUUUAUAAGCCAUUUUCAGCUGAUAGCCACCCCAUGUAUGUGAAUGACACAGUCUGGCAUUGCUGAAUUCUGAUUCGUUGAGGUUUCUAAUAGGUCAGCUGAUAGUGAUGACCUGUAAGCUGUGAUAAUGGUUUUUGUAGUAACAUGAUGUUUCCCUUGCUUUGCAUCUAUAAAGUGUGUGUUUAUUAAAAAUCUUUUUUAUCAUAUAUGCAUCCAGAAAAAUGCACAAAUUAUAAAUGUCUAGUUUGAUGGAUUUUACUAAUUGAACAUAGGAAACCAGCACUCAAAUUUAAAAAAUGGAACAUCACUGUCUCAGAAGCUCCUCCUGCCCCUUCCUGACCCCCUUCCUGUCACUACUGCUUCCCUCCCCUAUCCUGACUCCUAGAAGCAUUAAGUUUACCUGCUUUUGUAUUUUAUGUAAAUGAAAUCAUAAAAUAAGUAUUCUUUUGUGUUUGGCUGCUUUUGCUUAAUUUAUGAUUGUGAAAUUCAUCCAUGUUGCUAUUAUUGGUUGUAAAACUUUUACUCUUGGUGCUGUACAACAUUUAAUAGUGUUACUAUCUCACUAUUUAUAUAUUCAUUCUGCUAUUGAUUGAUGUUUGGGCUAUUAAAAAUGGUGCUGUUGACAGACAUAUAGAACAAUGGAAUAAAAUAGGAAGCCCAAAA
rnacentral:lncRNA from 1 species